AACCGGAGGAGUGGGGAUGACGUCAAGUCCUCAUGGCCCUUAUAGGUGGGGCUACACACGUGCUACAAUGGCCGGUACAAAGGGCAGCAAAGCCGCGAGGUGGAGCCAAUCCCAGAAAGCCGGUCUCAGUUCGGAUUGGAGUCUGCAACUCGACUCCAUGAAGUUGGAAUCGCUAGUAAUCGCGGAUCAGCAUGCCGCGGUGAAUACGUUCCCGGGCCUU
rnacentral:rRNA from 1 species